AUGAUGAUUUAGAUUCUAAAAGUUUAUGGUUUAAACUGAACAACCUUGAAGAUAUUAUUCUAGGGCGGUCUGAUAAA